GGGCCGGUAGCUCAGCCAGGCUGGAGCGCUCGGCUGAUAACCGAGAGGUCGGGAGUUCGAAUCUCCCCCGGCCCA
rnacentral:tRNA from 1 species